rnacentral:rRNA from 1 species
UGGGGAAUAUUGCGCAAUGGGGGCAACCCUGACGCAGCAACGCCGCGUGAGCGAUGAAGGUUUUCGGAUCGUAAAGCUCUGUUCUGAGGGAAGAUAAUGACGGUACCUCAGGAGAAAGCCCCGGCUAACUACGUGCCAGCAGCCGCGGUAAUACGUAGGGGGCAAGCGUUGUCCGGAUUCACUGGGCGUAAAGAGCACGUAGGCGGUUAAUUAAGUCAGGUGUGAAAGUUUUCGGCUCAACCGGAAAAGUGCACUUGAAACUGGAUAACUUGAGUAUCGGAGAGGUAAGCGGAAUUCCUAGUGUAGCGGUGAAAUGCGUAGAGAUUAGGAAGAACACCGGUGGCGAAGGCGGCUUACUGGACGAUAACUGACGCUGAGGUGCGAAAGCGUGGGGAGCGAACAGG